GCUUUUCCAGUUCUUGUAAGCUGACAAGCUGAAGGAGUGUAACCACUGCCUCCCUUGCCCGCAGCCCUCCUGGGUUGCCCCUGGGCUUGGAGCCAGCUGGCUCAGUUGGAGGAGGCCCAGUGGUGCUGGUGGUGCCUGACACCAAUUAGUGUUUCUGCUCACUUGAGUCCAACCUGGGAGCUCUUCUGGGCAGGGGGGACCUUGGCUCUAUCAUCUCUGAGUCUCCAGGACCCAACAUGAGUUGGGAUGAAGGGGAGGGGCACCCAGGAGUCAGGUGUCCAGGGCGGUGUCCAUGCAUGCCAAUGGCUUUAUACCCCAGCCUGAGCGCACCUGGAAUUCAACCCAGAGGGAAAUGGGGGCAAGAAUGUCCGGAGCAGGUGUGUCUCCCCAUGUCCUGAAUUUAGGCCCUCCAUCUCUGGUAUUACAGCUCUCAGUCAGUCUGUUGGGGCCCCAGGAGCAACUAGCCUAUAUUCUGGGUCCAUUCGUCCAUCCAUCAUUCAUUUAUUCAUUCAGUACUGACCACCUCCUAUACACCAGCCUUGUGCAGGUUCUGGAGACAACCCUGCCCUCACCAUAAAGUCUGCCAAGUGUUAGGACAGAGCAAGCUGAGGGGACCCAACAGAACCCUAGCAGGGAUAACCCACCUUGCACAAGAGAUCAGAGAUCUCCCAUUAUGCACUCUGCAAAAGUUAGACCAUCUUCUUACUGACUGCAUCUCCUGGUGGAAUUUCAGGUCCAUUGAAAGGAAUGGGGACCCACUUUGGAGCAGCCACUGGGGAGAGCAGCCUACGCCCGACUCCAAAGGGAGUUGAGAAUUCUGGAGUGAAUCACCCCACUGGGGGCACAGGAUGCUCCAUGGGGGCUGAGGACCCAGAGAGUGAGAGCUCCUUCCAGCUGGGGGAAGGCAACCCUCUCCCCAGAGGGAUGCAGGUAGAAGAGCACUUUAAGAGAUGUUUGAAUAGUUUCUCCCAUCCUGGGCCAGGCAGUGCUCUGGAUAUUGGGCACUGGGGAGAGGAUGGACCACAGACACGCCCUGUCUGGUCUGGAAGGGGAGAUGGACAAGAGGCCUAUUACACUGGAGCAGGAUAAGCCUGAAGUGAGGACCAAAUGUCUGGAUAAGUGGCAGCCUGACCCAGUGGUCCAGGAGAGUAUAGGGUGAGGGCCGGCUUCCCAAGCCCAGUGGGUCCUGGGCUGGUCCACUCAGAUCUGGGUAGUGGGGCCCUUCAUGCUGCCCAGCUGUAUUGCCCUGGUCCUUUCCGUCUCCUGCUCUCCUGGGCCACGGUUUUAUGCUUUCUUCUCAAACUCUCCCAUAUCCCCCACCCACUCUGCCUCCCACUUCAACAAGAAAAUGGAACCACUCAGAAGAGAAGCCCCAUAGAUGUCCUCCCAGCUCUACCCAUGUACUCUGCCCUCCACCAUCCGCAUGGGUGAACCAGCCCUGCCU
rnacentral:lncRNA from 1 species